rnacentral:rRNA from 1 species
CCUACGGGUGACAGCAGUGGGGAAUAUUGCACAAUGGGGUAAACCCUGAUGCAGCGACGCCGCUUGAAGGAAGAAGUAUUUCGGUAUGUACACUUCUAUCAGCAGGGAAGAAAAUGACGGUACCUGACUAAGAAGCCCCGGCUAACUACGUGCCAGCAGCCGCGGUAAUACGUAGGGUGCAAGCGUUAUCCGGAUUUACUGGGUGUAAAGGGAGCGUAGGCGGCGAUGCAAGUCAGAAGUGAAAGCCCGGGGCUCAACUCCGGGACUGCUUUUGAAACUGUAUGGCUAGAUUGCAGGAGAGGCAAGUGGAAGUCCUAGUGUAGCGGUGAAAUGCGUAGAUAUUAGGAGGAACACCAGUGGCGAAGGCGGCUUGCUGGACUGUAAAUGACGCUGAGGCUCGAAAGUGUGGGGAGCAAACAGGAUUAGAUACCCGGGUAGUC